AAUAUACUUUCUUUAUUUUAUAUAAAAAAUUUAAUUUUUUAGUCAAAAAGCUAAGAUGGUUUUAAAGGACGAGAAGACCCUAUAGAACUUUAUUUUCUUUUUAUAUAAUUUUUAUGGAUUUAUAAAAAUUUAUAUAUUUAUGUUAAUUUWGUUGGGGUGAUUGAAAAAAUUAUAUAACUUUUUCUACUUUAUACAUUUAUGAAUGUUAAUUUGAUCCCUUAUUAGGGAUAAUAAGAUUAAGUUACCUUAGGGAUAACAGCGUUAUUUUUUUGGAGAGUUCUUAUCGAUAAAAAAGUUUGCGACCUCGAUGUUGGAUUAAAAUAGAGUCAUCAGGGGCAGAAUAUUGUUUACUAG
rnacentral:rRNA from 1 species